rnacentral:lncRNA from 1 species
GUAUUGCAGAAACUUAAGUUCUCAUUGAUAAUAACACUCGUAUAAAUACAUAUCAGAGGUGUUUGAAAAACCUACAAACUAGGAAGGUUACAACUGAAUCCUAUAAUUAUGAGUUACAGCUACAGCAAACAACGUUUGAAUCUAUUUGAAUAAUCACAAGCUGAUAAGGAUAAGGGAGAGCCAGGGGAUGAUAAGGAGGAAGGUAAUUAUCUUUGUUACAUCUCUAUUAU